UCGAAGUCAUUGAUCCUAUGCUGCCUAGAAAAGCCCAGCAGCGAGUUGACAUGGUGCCCGUACCCCAAACCAACACAGGUGGACAGGUAGAGCAUACCAAGGCGAGUGGGAUAACUAUGGUUAAGGAACUCGGCAAAUUGCCUCCGUAACUUCGGGAGAAGGAGGACCCCAGUAGCGUGAUGAGACUUGCUCUCUGAGCGUGAAGGGGUGGCACAAAAUUGAGGGAAGCGACUGUUUACCAAAAACACAGCAGCGUGCUAAGCCGUAAGGCGCUGUAUACGCUGUGACUCCUGCCCGGUGCUGGAAGGUUACGGGGAUGGGUUAGUCCUUCGGGACGAAGCUCUGAACCUAAGCCCCAGUAAACGGCGGCCGUAACUAUAACGGUCCUAAGGUAGCGAAAUUCCUUGUCGAGUAAGUUCCGACCUGCACGAAUGGAGUAACGACUUCCCUACUGUCUCAACCAUAGACCCAGCGAAAUUGAAGUACGAGUAAAGAUGCUCGUUAGCUGCAGAAGGACGGAAAGACCCCGUGGACCUUUACUAUAACUUGAUGUUGUGUUUUGUCAUAUGUUGUGUAGGAUAGGUGGGAGACUUGGAAGCAUGGACGCUAGUCUGUGUGGAGUCAUCGUUGAAAUACCACCCUGCAUAUGGUGAGGCUCUAACCUAGACCCGUUAUCCGGGUUGGGGACAGCGUCAGGCGGGUAGUUUAACUGGGGCGGUUGCCUCCUAAAGAGUAACGGAGGCGCCCAAAGGUUCCCUCAGCCUGGUUGGCAAUCAGGCGUUGAGUGCAAUGGCAAAAGGGAGCUUGACUGCGAGACCUACAAGUCGAGCAGGAGCGAAAGCUGGGCAUAGUGAUCCGGCGGUUGCGUGUGGAAGCGCCGUCGCUCAACGGAUAAAAGGUACCCCGGGGAUAACAGGCUAAUCUUGCCCAAGCGUCCAUAGCGACGGCAAGGUUUGGCACCUCGAUGUCGGCUCAUCGCAUCCUGGGGCUGAAGCAGGUCCCAAGGGUUGGGCUGUUCGCCCAUUAAAGCGGUACGCGAGCUGGGUUCAGAACGUCGUGAGACAGUUCGGUCCCUAUCCUCUGCAGCCGGAGGUGAAUUGAGGAAAGCUGUCCCUAGUACGAGAGGACCGGGACGGACGCAGCUCUCGUGUGCCAGUUGUCCUGCCAAGGGCAUGGCUGGUUAGCGACCUGCGGAAAGGAUAACCGCUGAAAGCAUCUAAGCGGGAAGCCUCUUCCAAGAUGAAUUCACCCACAGGGUUAACCUGGUAAGGCCCGUGGUAGACCACCACGUUGAUAGGCCGGAAGUGUAAGCGUGGCAACACGUUCAGCUGACCGGUACUAAUCGGCCGAGGGCUUGAGUG
rnacentral:rRNA from 1 species